GACGAACGCUGGCGGCGUGCUUAACACAUGCAAGUCGAACGGAAAGGCCCUGCUUUUGUGGGGUGCUCGAGUGGCGAACGGGUGAGUAACACGUGAGUAACCUGCCCUUGACUUUGGGAUAACUUCAGGAAACUGGGGCUAAUACCGGAUAGGAGCUCCUGCUGCAUGGUGGGGGUUGGAAAGUUUCGGCGGUUGGGGAUGGACUCGCGGCUUAUCAGCUUGUUGGUGGGGUAGUGGCUUACCAAGGCUUUGACGGGUAGCCGGCCUGAGAGGGUGACCGGCCACAUUGGGACUGGGAUACGGCCCAGACUCCUACGGGAGGCAGCAGUGGGGAAUAUUGCACAAUGGGCGGAAGCCUGAUGCUGCAACGCCGCGUGCGGGAUGACGGCCUUCGGGUUGUAAACCGCUUUCGCCUGUGACGAAGCGUGAGUGACGGUAAUGGGUAAAGAAGCACCGGCUAACUACGUG
rnacentral:rRNA from 1 species